rnacentral:lncRNA from 1 species
GAACCCCUUAAAAUAUGUGCCUGGGGAUGGGACAGAGUCACAUUUGCCAUCAGGCCUGACUCUACUGAGGGAGGCAGCUCAAAUCCAGGGAAAACCAAGCUUCCAGGGGUGUUGUUGUUUUCUGGCUCAGGGUCUGAUCCUCAUUCUUCAUCCUGCAGAUAUGUGGUGUCCUGAAUGCUGUCUAUGAUGUGGCAAAGGCGUCUCUCUUGGACACUAUGAAUGUGCCCCUUCCUUUGGGCCCCUACGCAACUCUGAGGUGUGCGCUGGCAGGGCUGCCCUCUGUCUUUGGCACCUACGCUGCUGUAGAUAUAUAUGUAAGUAUCAAUGAAGUUGAUGGAUGAGUGAUGUCCUUCUGAGGCAUGAGACCUCACCUAUUCGCCCUCCAACCCCAUUAUCACUAAACCUCAGAGAGAAUCAAAUGUCUGCCCUUAUUCCUAAGUGAAGACACAACAGGCUGCCAUUUUCUGUUCCUUUCCAGAUCGAUGUUGAGGUGCCAGGCAAGGGGAUUCUCUCCAUUCCUGACUCAGCCGGCUCCAUCAAGGUGCCUUCCCUCAACAACUUUAAGUACUGCCAGUCUUUCCAUCCGGAACUCUUCAACAUUGUGCUGUCUGUUUUAGCUCCAAAGGAGCCCCAAGAACUGAGCUGCACCCCAGACAAGUUCCGUGGAGCGGAUGACUUGAGGAACGCCAUUUUGGCUCUUGUCCCUGCUGAGAAACAUGGACAUAUUUUUGCGAUUUCCUUGUACAUCAGGAUUUCCGUGGAGGUGAAUCCAGUGAUUGUUUUUGGACCUGAUGGCAUCGUCAUCUCUGCCGGUCUCAGAGUUGAGUUCUUCCUCAAGAACAAAGAUGGUUCUGUCUAUUCAGUCCUCAUUAUAAGGAGUGUAAGUAGCAUCCGCCAAAUAACAGGCUCAGCAGGUUCUGCUCAGCACCACAAAGGCCCUCAACACCACCGGCUUCUGCCAUGUCGCCUGGAAGUCUGUGUGUGGGGGAAGUUUUCCAGUUGGAUCAAGCCUUGCUUCCCACUGACUGUUUUGGACUUUGUCAAAUGUAUAUUCGUAGGAUGUCACCUUGAGUGCUGUGGUAUCCCUGGUGAAAGGAAGACUGAUCUUUGUGGUGUCUGUUUCCAGGUAAAAAGCCAUUCCUUUUAGUCGUCCGUCUUCCAUCCAGGAUCAGAUUUGAGCAAGAAGAGGCAACGGUGUGAAGGUUUCUACAUGAAACCAUCGUAGGAGGACAUUUGUCCU